UACGAAGGGGGCUAGCGUUGCUCGGAAUCACUGGGCGUAAAGGGUGCGUAGGCGGGUUUUUAAGUCAGAGGUGAAAUCCUGGAGCUCAACUCCAGAACUGCCUUUGAUACUGAAAGUCUUGAGUAUGGGAGAGGUGAGUGGAACUGCGAGUGUAGAGGUGAAAUUCGUAGAUAUUCGCAAGAACACCAGUGGCGAAGGCGGCUCACUGGCCCAUUACUGGCGCUGAGGCACGAAAGCGUGGGGAGCAAACAGG
rnacentral:rRNA from 1 species